rnacentral:rRNA from 1 species
UACGAAGGGGGCUAGCGUUGUUCGGAAUUACUGGGCGUAAAGGGCGCACAGGCGGCUCUUCAAGUCAGAUGUGAAAGCCCCGGGCUCAACCUGGGAACUGCAUUUGAGACUGGAGAGCUUGAGUUCGGGAGAGGAUGGUGGAAUUCCGAGUGUAGAGGUGAAAUUCGUAGAUAUUCGGAAGAACACCAGUGGCGAAGGCGGCUCACUGGACCGGCAUUGACGCUGAGGUGCGAAAGCGUGGGGAGCAAACAGG